AUUCACCAAAAACGAUCUCGAGUGCAUUCAUCAUAAAGCGAGGUUAAAGUACUAAGACCGUAAAAACUUCGGGUUCCGCCAAAUCUUCUCAAACAUCUGACUGCCCUCUCCCGCCACCCCCUCUCCAGGGCUCCGGGAGAGAUUCUCCUCAGCCUAGCGACCCGGCAUUUAAGGACGCAGGAGCCAGCGGGGGACCUUCGGACUUCUCCAGCCGUGUUCCUGCAAGCGGAGAAUUUUCCACCCGGGCUCCAGAAGAGGCAGACCCCCAACCACCACCCCGGCCCGACCCAUCCCGCCACGGGAUCAUCUCAGCUCCGAGCCGAGCGCCUUCUGUGGGGGCAGCUAGACCGGCUCUUGUUCCUGAGGGCCAGAUCCAGCCGCUUAUUGGAUGUCUCCACCGCGAGGCCGAGCAGAGAACAGAAUUGAUUGUGGCAUCUGCCUUCCACCACCACCAGCCUGCUCCUCCCCGUGUGGUUCCCUGCUUUGAUGAGCAGACGCGGCCCUCUACUGCACUAACUUGAGUGCUUCCUCUGUCUCUCUCCUUCUCCCGACCCUACUACAUCAAGUCACUUCCACCUGAACCUACCCAGGGGGACUCUCGUCCCUUCCUAGCCUGGCCGCUCGCUUCCUUCCAGUCACUCUGCUGUCCACUUUCAACCUUCACACUUGUGGCCCGGAUCCUCUUUUUAAAAAAACACAGGCACUGGAAUUGUCUCAAGCCCUGCUUCUCCGUGGCUCAGCUUAAAAGAGUUGGUACCCGGUGUGGUCCUAAGAAGCAGAGUCUAAGGAUAGGAUUUCAGGUGCUUACUAGGAUGCUGACAGCUGUGUGAUGACCAUUAUCUUGGGGGAGGUGGAUGGGAGAGUGGUAGAUGGGGGUGCAUUGGCUUAUUCAAUCUCUCUGGUGUUUGAGGACGUGGGGGAAAUUUUUUAAAACAGAAAUUAGGUGGCUACUGAUGCUUGAAAGAGGCAAAACAACUGCCUCUAGGCACUCUCUUAACCAAUAUACAGCAAAGCCAGAAGGAUCUGCUUAGCAGCCUGUUAAGCAGCAGUCACCUGCAGUCAGAGGGCAGAGAGUUCUGAGGACCAGGCUCAGGCUCACAGAAAAGGAGCUAAAACUUUGGGACUUCCCUGGUGGUCCAGUGGUUGAGUAUCCGCCUGCCAGAACAGGGCACGUGGGUUUGAUCCCUGCCCGGAAGACUCCAUGUGCUGCGGGGCAACUAAGCCGGCGUUUCCACAGCUACUGAGGCCCGUGCUCUAGAGCCUGUGCUCGGCAACAAGAGAAGCCACCACGGUGAGAAGCCGGAGCACCGCAACCAGAAAGUAGCCCCUGCUCGCCACAACUAGAGAAAGCCUUCACACAGCAACGAAGACCCAGCACAGCCAUAAAUACAUUAAAAAUAAUUUUUUUAAAAAGGAGCUGAACUUUAGAAAUGGUCAACUUCUUAGUCAUGGUUACUCGCCAACACCACAGUCAGGGCUCUGAUAAGGAAGAGGUGGGACCCUGAGACUAAGGAUGAAAACCUAAGUGGUAGAACCUCAGACUCAUCUGAAGCUCUGGGGCCUGUAGAAGAGGCCCGCUCCCAUCCCACCCCCACGACCUGAAGACCACGCAGAAGCCUCGAAGGAGGCAGGUACCCCACAAGACCAUGCGCUCUCCAGGAUCUGCCCCAAAGCCUCACCUGGCUACUAGACCGAUCACUAAGAUUGGACCUCACUGGGACUUCCCUGAUCCAGUGGUUAAGACAGACUUCCAGUGCCGAGGACUCACGUUCGAUCCCACAUGCCUCGGGCCAGCUAAGCCCAUGAGCCACAACUAUAAGACCCAACAC
ensembl:lncRNA